AUUGAACGCUGGCGGCAGGCCUAACACAUGCAAGUCGAGCGGAGCGGCGGACGGGUGAGUAAUGCAUAGGAAUCUGCCUGGUAGUGGGGGAGAACGUCCGGAAAGGGGCGCUAAUAACGCAUACUAUCAGACGAGCCUGGAUCGGUGUAGCUAGUUGGUGGGUUAAGGGCCUACCAAGGCGACGAUCCGUACCUGGUCUGAGUGGAUGAUCAGCCACACUGGAACUGAGACCGGGUCCAGACUCCUACGGGAGGCAGCAGGGGGGAAUAUUGGACAAGGGGCGAAAGCCUGAUCCAGCCAUGCCGCGUGUGUGAAGAAGGUCUUCGGAUUGUAAAGCACUUUAAGUUGGGAGGCGUUACCAACAGAAUAAGCACCGGCUAACUCCGUGCCAGCCGCCGCGGUAAUAC
rnacentral:rRNA from 1 species